UACGUAGGGUCCGAGCGUUGUCCGGAAUUAUUGGGCGUAAAGGGCUCGUAGGCGGUUCGUCACGUCGGGAGUGAAAACUCGGGGCUUAACCCCGAGCCUGCUUCCGAUACGGGCAGACUAGAGGUAGGCAGGGGAGAGCGGAACUCCUGGUGUAGCGGUGGAAUGCGCAGAUAUCAGGAAGAACACCGGUGGCGAAGGCGGCUCUCUGGGCCUUACCUGACGCUGAGGAGCGAAAGCAUGGGGAGCGAACAGG
rnacentral:rRNA from 1 species